CUGGGAUUCUGUCCCUUCAGAAGUGCCGAGCACAAUGCCUGGCAUUUAGGAAGUCACAUAUUAUUAUAUAAACUACCGUUUAUUCCUCAUAACAGCCCUAUGAGUUAGAAACUAUAAUUAUAAGCAUUUUGCAGAUGGAAGAAAGGAAGCCCAAAGUAGAUAUGUCACAUUUCUAAGGUCUCAUAACUAGUAAACAUUUGGAGUUACCAGCUAUGUGAUCUUAGUCACACUGCAGACGUAGGUCCCAAAUAUCAAAAGUUGCCUCUUUUCCCACCAUGAGAGGUAUAGAGAGGGAAUCUAAAGGUAACUCUUGUCCAUGCUAAAUCUGAUGAGGUAAUCUGAUUCAAAAGCACACUCUCUUAAUUCCUGUGCCAUUGGCAAUCCCAGAAGCACUUGGGGUGCUGGCUGGGCCCAGGAUGCCAGAGAAUAAGGAAGAAUACCUGAGGGAAGGUCUUCUGAGGAGUCAGUUCUAUCUUCCCUUGAGACAUGGUGGGAAAGGUACAGAGUUAAGGAAUUCCACAGAAUACAGGAGCCUGGAAGGGUCAGAGACUUAAUUCCUAUCCAUUAUAGCAUGGAAAGACCCCCGAUAAGCUCUUUUCAAUCCCAGUAGCGAAACAUUUUGAACAAAGCUUCCUUUCUCACCUGCCCACUUGCCCCA
rnacentral:lncRNA from 1 species